UUAAACAUGAGAGUUUGAUCCUGGCUCAGGAUGAACGCUGGCGGCGUGCCUAACACAUGCAAGUCGAACGGAGUAUUUUUUACAGA
rnacentral:rRNA from 1 species